UGACCUCAAAUCAGGUAGGACUACCCGCUGAACUUAAGCAUAUCAAUAAGCGGAGGAAAAGAAACUAACAAGGAUUCCCCUAGUAACUGCGAGUGAAGCGGGAAAAGCUCAAAUUUUGAAUCUGACGGUCAUUCGCCGUCCGAGUUGUAAUCUAGAGAAGCGUCUUCCGCGCUGGACCGUGUAUAAGUCUCCUGGAAGGGAGCGUCAUAGAGGGUGAGAAUCC
rnacentral:rRNA from 1 species